CAAUAGCGUAUAUUAAAGUUGUUGCGGUUAAAAAGCUCGUAGUUGGAUUUCUUCUCUUAUCAGCCGGUCCUCACUUCGUGAGAGUAUCUGGUCAGAUUUGAGAAUCCUCUUGAGGAACGUCGCUGCGCUUGAUUGCGUGGCACGGUAUUCAAGACUUUUACUUUGAGGAAAUUGGAGUGUUCACGGCAGGCAUUCGCCUUGUACACAUUAGCAUGGAAUAAUAAUAUAGGAUCACGACCCUAUUUUGUUGGUUUCUAGAGUUGUGAUAAUGAUUAAUAGGGACAGUUGGGGGCAUUAGUAUUUAAUUGUCAGAGGUGAAAUUCUUGGAUUUAUUAAAGACUAACUUAUGCGAAAGCAUUUGCCAAGGAUGUUUUCAUUAAUCAAGAACGAAAGUUAGGGGAUCAAAGAUGAUCAGAUACCAU
rnacentral:rRNA from 1 species